CAAUGGCCGUAAACAGAGGGAAGCAAAGCCGCGAGGUGGAGCAAACCCCCCAAAAGCGGUCCCAGUUCGGAUUGUAGGCUGCAACCCGCCUACAUGAAGUUGGAAUUGCUAGUAAUCGCAGAUCAGAAUGCUGCGGUGAAUACGUUCCCGGGCCUUGUACACACCGCCCGUCACACCAUGGGAGCCGGUAAUACCCGAAGUCAGUAGUCUAACCGCAAGGGGGACGCUGCCGAAGGUAGGAUUGGCGACUGGGGUGAAGUCGUAACAAGGUACC
rnacentral:rRNA from 1 species